rnacentral:rRNA from 1 species
GACGAACGCUGGCGGCGUGCUUAACACAUGCAAGUCGAGCGGUAAGGCCCUUUCGGGGGUACACGAGCGGCGAACGGGUGAGUAACACGUGGGUGACCUGCCUUUAGCUCUGGGAUAAGCCUGGGAAACCGGGUCUAAUACCGGAUAUGACUCCGCGGCGCAUGUUGUGGGGUGGAAAGCCUUGUGCGGCUGGAGAUGGGCCCGCGGCCUAUCAGCUUGUUGGUGGGGUGAUGGCCUACCAAGGCGACGACGGGUAGCCGGCCUGAGAGGGCGACCGGCCACACUGGGACUGAGACACGGCCCAGACUCCUACGGGAGGCAGCAGUGGGGAAUCUUGCGCAAUGGGCGAAAGCCUG